ensembl:lncRNA
GCGGCAUAUAAGUCUCAUAAAUAAAAUAAAUAAAAUAUUACCACAACCAAGGCCAACAUUUAUGUUGCUAAGAGAGCUAUCUGUUAACGGUCAGUAAAGUGUUGUAAGUCAAGGACUACCUGGGUUACUCGUUGAGCCAGAUACCACCUAUUCUAAUACCUGUGUGUUUGGAUCUUUGCCAACAUCCGUUUGGUUUCCCCCCACACACACCCCUUUUGUUCUUUCUGCCUCUCUCCACUCCAGAAGGAAAUAAUUUGGCAGCUCUCUAAAUCGGUAAAUAUGAAGGUAGAAUUACAGGAAGGAAAAAAAGUUUGCACAGUGGCUUGGGGACUGCCCUGAUAUGAUUUCUUAUUUUUUACAUAAGCCUUUCCCAGAAAUAUUACCUAGCUGGGAGGAGGAAAAAAAAAAAACAAUUUGGUUGGUUCAAGUAGGAAAAAUUAGCAGAAGCCGGAGCCAUUUGACGGAGAGACCCAAGGAACGCCGCUAUCGAAAUGGACCGAUUCUUCUUCUUUCUGGUGUUAGGGGUCCUUGUCGGGUUGGUUUGCUGCUCAGGAAAAGGUGGAAGGUACGGGGAAGAGAAAGAGAGUUUGCUGAGCAGGUCAAAGCGAAGCAAGCUGUGGCAUCGGUCCUGCACUUGUCCAGAUUUAAAUGAACUCCAAAACCCAAAGAAGCACAACCAUGCCUGCCCCUGUGAUGGAUUCAGUUUACAUAGUUUGUCAGAACAUCGCAAACAUCGUCCCCAUCGCAAGAGCAAGCAACAUGCACUCCGUAAGGCCAAAUGCAAGAGGUUUUUGAAACACUGCGCUUUUAACGGGAUGCACAUUCCCUUAUAGUUUAUCUUGGUUCACGGCAAGACCCCCGAGGGGAUUAUUAUCCACGACACAAUGUUGAUUCUUCGGUAUGCGCCUUUUUCUUUUAAAAAAAAAUAUAUAUUGUUUGCUCUCGGAAACCCUUUGGGUUGGUUGGAAAUAAAGCUCCAACUUGAGGCCUUUGUGGGAGUGAAUGGCCUGUAAAGAGUUGUGUGGACAAAUAAAAGUAAUAAUAGAACUUGCUAUAUGUUGGGCACGUUGCCUGAAGGCCUCUGACGGCAAAAAGGAGGCUGGGGGCGACGCACGCAAGGGAGUUUAGUCAGUGGAUGACAUCCCCUGAAAAUAAGACCUGGUGCCUUUUUGGGUGGCAAAGAAAUAUAUAAGACAGGGUCUUAUUUUCGGGGAAACACCGUACAAGAACAAGGGACUAAUUGCCAGGCUUUCUAGUUCCUCUUUGGAAAACGAAGUUAUAAACUCGUUCAGCCACAUUCAAGCACUUUCUUCCUCAAAAUAUCUGGUGGAGAAAAUUUGAAAUAGCACUCCUCGUGUUACUCUUCAGCUCAGUUCACCACGAUUGAACCGUUGCCACUAGAAUAUAACCUUGCAAGUUGCAGUGAGAUCUUAGAAACAGGUUCCUCAAAAGAGUGGCAUGAGUUCCUGAUUUUUAUUCUAAAUAGGCCCAACACAAUUGGCUUAAUCAGACUGAUUGCAAACCCGGGAAUUCACAGAGUUAAGGAGGAAGUCAGAAAAACUGUCAUAUGAAUCAACCCUCUUUGGUUAGUAAUAGCAAUGCCACUAAGAUAUAUAUACCACUUCCCAGGGCUCUACAGCCCUCUCUGAGCAGUUUACAGAGUCAGUCUCUUGCUCCCACUAAUCUGGGUCCUCAUUUUACUGACCUCGGAAGGACAGAAGGCUGAGCCAACCUUGAACCGAUCAGGAUUGAACUGAUGGCAGUCGGCAGAGUUAAGUCUGCAAUACUGCAUCCUAACC